GAAAUAUGGAAUCCGCCAACAAAUAUGAUAUAUUCAGACAUAUUCAAGAGAUUAAGUAUUUCGAAAGGCUGCUCCUGUCAGUAGGUUACAAAUUUCUUAACAAAUUGCUAUUUAUUCAGUCAAGGCAACCCCUUUCGCCACCUGCGCCGACACUUCCACGUGCAGCACUCUGUCAAGCAGCCACAUAUCUUUUUGGCCAAUGCACGCCUCAUCGAGCUAGACAGCAGCCACAAAGAAACUGCCAAGAGUCGCAGUGGUUAAGACCAAGGAGAAGCAGCCAUGAGGGGUAGGCGGAGGAGGGAGAGGAGCAGGAGAAGCGGGCACAACUGGCAACUAAACCAAAUAAGUUCCACUCGAAUGGCCACAAAGUGUGAAGCAUCUCGUAGCGGGCGGCUGACGGGAGACAGGAGACAGCAGACAGCAGAUGAAAUGUCAGCUUCGCUUCACAUGGUUUUCCACCCAUUUUCCGCUCGUGACGGUGGACUUUUAAGGAUAAAGACAAGCCGAAAGACGUAUUCGAAGACCAAAAAAGUUUCAUACAACCGCUUUCACUCAUUUUCCACUCAGGAGGGUGAAAUCAUGGAUAACCAAUUGAUCGUAUUGACAGAUACAUUAAAUAUAUAUGUAUGUAUAUGCACUAUAUUGUAUAUGUUGUAUGUUAUAUGCUUCGAAUCUAUUCAGUCUGAGAUCAAUGGAACAGAGAUCAUAUAAGUGGGAAUAAAAAGCUAU